rnacentral:rRNA from 1 species
GGGGAAUUUUGGACAAUGGCGGCAACCCUGAUCCAGCCAUGCCGCGUGCGUGAAGAAGGACUUCGGGUUGUAAAGCUCUUUCGGACGGAAAGAAAACGGAUGGGUUAAUACCCUGUUCGGAUGACGGUACCGUCAUAAGAAGCACCGGCUAACUACGUGCCAGCAGCCGCGGUAAUACGUAGGGUGCGAGCGUUAAUCGGAAUUACUGGGCGUAAAGCGUGCGCAGGCGGUUGAUUAAGACAGGCGUGAAAUCCCCGGGCUCUAACCUGGGAAAUGCGCUUGUGACUGCAAGACUAGAGUACGGCAGAGGGGGGUGGAAUUCCACGUGUAGCAGUGAAAUGCGUAGAGAUGUGGAGGAACACCAAUGGCGAAGGCAGCCAUCUGGCCUAAUACUGACGCUGAGGUACGAAAGCAUGGGGAGCAAACA